CAGGGCGCGCCCGCACUAUGUGAUUAGUUUGAUCCUGGCUCAGAACGAACGCUGGCGGCGUGCUUAACACAUGCAAGUCGAGUGCGCGUCUGUAGCAAUACAGAUGGCGCACGGCGCACGGGUGCGUAACACGUGGGCAAUCUGCCCUUCGAUGGGGAAUAACUCCGGGAAACCGAAGCUAAUUCCGCAUAACAUUCCUUGGACUUCGGUUCGAGGAUUCAAAGCCGUAAGGCGUCGAAGGAGGAGCCCGCGCCCGAUUAGCUAGUUGGUGAGGUAAUGGCUCACCAAGGCAAUGAUCGGUAGCUGGUCUGAGAGGAUGGCCAGCCACACUGGAACUGAGACACGGUCCAGACUCCUACGGGAGGCAGCAGUGGGGAAUCUUGCGCAAUGAGCGAAAGCCUGACGCAGCGACGCCGCGUGGGGGAUGAAGCAUCUCGGUGUGUAAACCCCUUUCGACUGGGACGAAUGCCUCGCAAGAGGAGUGACGGUACCAGUAGAAGAAGCCCCGGCUAACUACGUGCCAGCAGCCGCGGUAAGACGUAGGGGGCCAGCGUUGUUCGGAAUUACUGGGUGUAAAGGGUUCGUAGGCGGUGUGGCAAGUCGGGAGUGAAAUCUAUGGGCUUAACUCAUAGGCUGCUUCCGAAACUGCUGUGCUUGAGUGUGGGAGAGGCGCGUGGAAUUGCAGGUGUAGCGGUGAAAUGCGUAGAUAUCUGCAGGAACACCCGUGGCGAAAGCGGCGCGCUGGACCACAACUGACGCUGAGGAACGAAAGCUAGGGGAGCAAACAGGAUUAGAUACCCUGGUAGUCCUAGCCCUAAACGAUCAGGACUUGGGGUGCCGCACGUUCGUGCGUCGUCCCGGAGCUAACGCGUUAAGUCCUGCACCUGGGGAGUACGGUCGCAAGACUGAAACUCAAAGGAAUUGACGGGGGCCCGCACAAGCGGUGGAACAUGUGUUCAAUUCGACGCUACGGCGAGGAACUUACCUGGCUCGAAGCGCACUUGACUAGCUGUAGAAUACGGCCUUCUCGCAGGAGACAGUGUGGAGGCGCUGCAUGGCUGUCGUCAGC
rnacentral:rRNA from 1 species